AGGAUGAACGCUGGCGGCGUGCCUAAUACAUGCAAGUCGAACGAAGAGUGUUAGCUUCGGUUGAUAACUCUUAGUGGCGAACGGGUGAGUAACGCGUUGGUGACCUGCCCCGAAGAGGGGGAUAACAGCUCGAAAGGGCUGCUAAUACCCCAUGUGGUGCUAGAGGUUAGAGGCUCUAGCAAGAAAGGAGAACCCGCUUCGGGAGGGGCCUGCGUCCCAUCAGCUAGUUGGUAAGGUAAAGGCCUACCAAGGCGAAGACGGGUAGGGGACCUGAGAGGGUGACCCCCCACAAUGGAACUGAAACACGGUCCAUACACCUACGGGUGGCAGCAGUAGGGAAUAUUGCACAAUGGGCGAAAGCCUGAUGCAGCAACGCCGCGUGCACGAUGAAGGCCCUCGGGUCGUAAAGUGCUUUUCUGAGGGAAGAGAAAGGACGGUACCUCAGGAAUAAGUCUCGGCUAACUACGUGCCAGCAGCCGCGGUAACACGUAGGAGGCAAACGUUAUCCGGAUUUACUGGGCGUAAAGCGCGUGUAGGCGGUUUGGUAAGUUGGAUGUGAAAGCUCCUGGCUCAACUGGGAGAGGUCGUUCAAUACUGCCGAAGUAGAGGACGGUAGAGGAAAGUGGAAUUCCCGGUGUAGUGGUGAAAUGCGUAGAUAUCGGGAGGAACACCAGUGGCGAAGGCGACGCGCUGGGCUGUACUUGACGCUAAGACGCGAAAGCUAGGGUAGCAAACGGGAUUAGAAACCCCGGUAGUCCUAGCCGUAAACGAUGUGAACUUGGUGUUGGUGGGGUAAAAGCCAUCAGUGCCGAAGCUAACGCGAUAAGUCUGCCGCCUGGGGACUACGAUCGCAAGAUUAAAACUCAAAGGAAUUGACGGGGACCCGCACAAGCAGCGGAGCGUGUGGUUUAAUUCGAGGCUACGCGAAGAACCUUACCUGGGCUUGACAUAUAGGUGGUAGAGAAGCGAAAGUGGACCGACCCUUCGGGGAGCCUUCACAGGUGUUGCAUGGCUGUCGUCAGCUCGUGCCGUGAGGUGUCCGGUUAAGUCCGGUAACGAGCGCAACCCUUGCCGUAUGUUAUACGUGUCAUACGGGACUGCCGGAUAAAGCCGGAGGAAGGUGGGGAUGACGUCAAGUCAGCAUGGCCUUUAUGUCCGGGGCUACACACACGCUACAAUGGCCAGCACAAUAGGUAGCAAGACCGCGAGGUGGAGCCAAUCCAUAAAGCUGGUCUCAGUUCAAAUUGCAGGCUGCAACUCCCUUGCAUGAAAUCGGAUUUCUAGUACCGCGCGU
rnacentral:rRNA from 1 species